rnacentral:lncRNA from 1 species
UCGGCUUCCCUCGGCCACACUCGGCCUCCAGCCCCGCCUCUCGGCCCGCCUUUUCCUCCCGGCCCUGCGUUGGUGGGCGCGCCGCGGGCUCUAAAAGCUCGACUGUCGGCCGGGCGCUGUGGCGCACGCCUGUAAUCCCAGCACUUUGGGAGGGCAAGGUGGGUGGAUCAAAGUUCGCGACCAGCCUGACCAACAUGGUGAAACUACGUCUCUACUAAAUUAGCCAGGCGUAGUGGCUCAUGCCUAUAAUCCGAGCUACUUGGGAGGCUGAGACAGGAGACUCGCUUGUACCCGGCAGGCGGAGGUUGCAGUGAGCCAAGAUUGCGCCAUUGCACUCCAGCCUCGGCAACAAGAGCGAAACUCCGUCUCAAAAAAAAAAAAAGCUCAACUGUGGGCCUGCGACCUUCACGCGCCAGCGCUGGAGAGGUGCCAGGCUCCCUGGGGCCGAGACCGGGGCAGAGGACGACACUUCGUCUGGCCGCCUAGCCUCGGCCUCUAAGCUUCCUGCAUCUUCUUCAUCGUAGGUGAUGUUGGACGUGACAGAGGAGGUGACAGGUCACCCUGAGUGCGGGACUCCGUGUCCAGAAGGAAGUGGGCCUCCAGGUGCCACGCCUUUGCUUCUGCUGUGGCAUCUGAUGAGUUCCCUGUUCAUCUCUCCAGGCAUUCCCAGGGCAGUCAGCCCUGAUGCCCAGGGGCUAGGCUUGCAAGACCGCGCAUUAGGUUCGCAGAGCUAGAGUGCAAGGCCAGACCUGGUACCAACAGCAUCUCCGCCUUCGUCCUCAUCUGGUUCCCGCCUCAAACCUGUACCUGUGCGGAGGAGCCUGGAAGAAGAACUAAAACUAUAGUUCCAGCUACUUCAGAGGCUAAGGUGGGAAGAUGGCUUGAAUCCAGGAGGUCGAGGCUGCAGUGAGCUGUGAUCUCACCACUGCACUGAUCUCACCACUGCACUCCAGCCUGGGCAACAAAGCAAAACCCUGUCUCAAAAAAUAAAGUAAAAUGAAAGAAUUCAAAAUAAUUAUGCAGCAAAAUGUUUACUGUAUUUCUAUAAAUUCAAAUAAAACAUGCCAAAUCCUUUGUCCCUCCCAUAAUUUCAAUGAGUAUGUACAGAAAAUUCUUAGGGAACAAUGUGAGCCAGGUAAUUGUUGAUCUGGUUGAGUAGCACUUUAGAGAUAACUUUUAUGUGUUCUCCCAUUCAGGACUUCACCAUGUCAGAAGAACUCAAUUAGCCCUCUUAAUAUAAAGAAACUGGCCGGGCAUGGUGGCUCACGUUGGCCCAACAAAACCUUUGGGAGGCUGAAACAGGCAAAUAACUUGAGCCCAGGAGUUCAAGAUCGGCCUGGGCAACCUGGCGAAACCUCGUCUCUACAAAAAAUACAAAAAAAUUAGCCGGGCAUGGUGGCAUGCACCUGUAAUCUAAACUACUUGGGAGGCUGAGAUGGGAGGAUUGCUUGAGCCUGGGAGAUGGAGGUUGCAGUGAGCCGAAAUUGUGCCACUGCACUCCAGCCUGGGUGACAGAGCAAGACUCUGUCUCAAAACAAUUUUAAACAAAACAACGAACUUGCUCAGAGAGGUUGAGUACCUUCGUAAGUUCAUACAGCUAUGGCAGGGUAAAAGUUAGGCCUGGCACUUCAGUUGUCUCAACCCAGCAUUUCUUCUACCGUGUCACGGAGUCCUCUCCACACACGUACUUUUGUAAGAUACAGUGACCAGCACUUAAUGUUUUUCUCUGUCAUUUUACAGGCCACUUUUCUCUCAUCUUUGUAAGCAAGCCUGGAUAAUUCAACUUGAGAUAAACAUGGGCUGCUUUAAAGCUUUACAGCACUUGCAUUUUUAGUUCUUCUGAAACAGAGCCAGAUGUCUCUCAAAGUCAGAUCACAGACACCACUGCAUGCAUCAUGGAACCUGGACUGUUCUGGUCAGAUCAAUAAUCUGGACAUUAUAAUUUUUUCAUUUUUUUUGUAGAGACGGGGGUCUCACUUUGUUGACCAGGCUGGUCUGGAACUCCUGGGCUCAAGUGAUCAGCCUGCCUGGGCCUCCCAAAGUGCUGGGAUUACAGGCUUCAGCCACUGCACCUAAUUCUUUCAUUUUAAUUAGAGUGUUUAUCUCUUCCAAAAGGUGGUUUUAAAAUUUCACAUGUGGUUCUCUCCUUAUUUUCAGUUGAGAAGAAGCAAAAAAAAAAAAAAAUUAGAAAGUAAAACGAUUGGCAGGAGCUUUGGAUAUUUUUACUUAUCCCAUUGUGCAACACAUUCAGUGACAAUACAGGCUUAUGAAGUUGUUCAGAUGGUUUGUCUAUGAGCAUGUCUGUUCCUACAGUUCUCCAGAACAUGAGAGCCCUUCAUGCCUAAUCUUGGCUUCCUGCUGAUAGACUUUUAAAGGGGUGUGAGUUGGCCAGCCAUGGACCUGGGUACGCUUCCAGUGGCCACAGAUGUGAACACAAUGCUGAGAGCAAUGGAAAUGUAAGCAAAGUAACAUGUAUGCUUGGUGAACAAUCAGAAGUAUGAAAUACGAGAAACCAAACCUGCCUGAUUGAUAAGAAUGGGGGGCCGGGUGCAGCGGCUCACGCUUGUAAUCCCAGCACUUUGGGAGGCUGAGGCAGGCGGAUCAUGAGGUCAGGAGUUCAAGACCAGCCUGACCAAUAUGGUGAAACCCUGUCUCUACUGAAAAUAAAAAAUUAGCCAGGUGUGGUGGCGCACACCUGUAAUCCCAGCUACUUAGGAGGCUGAGGCAGGAAAAUUGCUUGGAGGCGGAGGCUGCAGUGAGCCGAGAUCGCGCCACUGCACUCAGGCCUGGGAGACAGAGUGAGACUCUGUCUCAAAAAAACAAAACAAAAAACAAACAGAAAAAAUGGGGGGUAGGGGGUUUGAGGAGCACAAGGCUUGGACCUACUAGACCUGGAGAUUUGGGGAACGAGGGAUGCCAGCCAUGUUCCUUGUACUGUAUGCAAAAGGGAAGUAACAAGUAUUGAAUGUUCACUUACCUCUUUCAUUCCCCAAUAUGAAAUAGAUAUUCCCAUUUGCAAAAAAAAAAAAACAAAAAACAAAAAACAAAAAAAAAGAAGGCUCAGGAGAACUAGAAAGCAGAUGAAACAAAGAGGACUUCAUUCAGUACCAGAUGAAUUUAGUAUUUCUAUGUAUGUAUGUGGGUCUCCUAAUUUGAUUUUCAAAUUGUUCUUUAGAAAGAUUUUUAGCUAUAUUAAGAUUUCUUAAAAAGCUGGGCCAUGCCAGGCAGGGUGGCUCAUGCCUACAGUCCCAGCCACUCAGGAGGCUGAGGCGGGAGGAUCACUUAGCCCAAGAAAGGCUGCAGUGAGCUAUGACCAUGCCACUGCACUCCAGCCUGGGCAACAGUGAGACCCUGUCUCAAAUAAAUUGAAAAAAAAAAAAUGCUGGACCAAGAGUAUAAUUUCAGGCAUCAAUUCUGUAGUUCCUUACUAGAGAAGUUUCUCUUAACAUGUACAACACUGGAAACCAUGAGGAGGUGGCAGCACAGCAUUCUCUGCUGAGCGUGAGGUUGGCUCUUGGUGUUGCUUUGCUGCAACUGUCAUUUGCCAUUGAUGAUGGUUCUUCUCUUCCUCCGAGGGAGAGAAUGCAGUCUGAGUGGGGGAAAAAGCCUGGGCCAUGGACUUAUAGACUGUUAACAUUGGAGUCUUGCUAGUGAACAUUUUAGCUAUGAUUGGAUUGUUUGGAUAGCUGAGUUUGAUAUUUACAAUAUCCCUAGCUUACCACUUAAUGUCUGCUCUUCUAGAUGCUGUCCUUUUCCCGUAUCUUGUUAGUAUUCUCUUUAACCCAUUUUUCAGCUAAGUGAAGUGUUAGUAUUCCCUCCUCUGACACUUGUUCACUCAGCACAAAGAAUUCCUACUGUUACCUCUCCAGAACCCUACGGUCAUUAUAGUUGAGGAAGCUGAUGCAGGUGGGAGAAAGGACCAGACGCAUGGACCAUGCUGUUAAGGGAACAGGGACAGAGUGGGUUUUAAUCUGGUUCACCCAUCCACUUACUAGUUUGUAACCUGAGAGCUUCCACUUCCCCAUCCCCAACAUGGGGACAUACUGUCAUGGGACUGUUGUGAAGAAUGACAUGCCACACAGAUGAGCAGUCCUAGCUAAUGUUAGCUGUUAAUGGGUGAAGGAAAAGCAGGCACUUAACAUGUGGAUAUAGGCUAUCCCUUAUCUUUGUCUUGUGACACCAUCCUCACUAGUUCACAAUUGCCCUUUCGUACAGGCUAAGCAUCCCUUAUCCGAAAUGCUUGGAACCAUUUGUGUUUCAGAUUUCUACUUUUUUCCAGACUUCGGAAUAUUUGUAUAUACUUAAGGUUUUUAUGUAUACUUUAUGAUCUUAGAUAAUUUUAGACAGGGUCCUGCUCUGUCACCCAGUCUUGAGUGUAAUGAUACAAACACGGCUCACUGAAGCCACAGGUACAUGCCACCACACUGCACUAAUUUAAAACAAAAUUUCUUGUAGAGGCUGGGAUAGGUUUAAGCAAUCCUCCUGCCUCAGCCUCCCAAAGUGCAGGAAUCGCAGGCAUGAACCACCAUGCCUGGCCUAUGGUUUUAAUAUACAGGUUGGGCAUUCCUUACCUGAAAAUCCAAAACGUUCCAAUGAGCAUUUCCUUUGCGUGUCACGUUUACGUUUUGGGUUUUGGGUAAGGGAUGCUCAAGCCAUGUAUUAAAAACACAAAACUAGCCAGGCAUGGUGGCUCAUACUUGCAAUCUCCCAGCACUUCGGGAGGUCAAGGCGUGCAGAUCACUUAACACCAGGAGAUUGAGGUUUUCCUACAAAAAAUUAGCCAGGCAUGGUGGCAUGCCUGUAGUCCCAGCUACUUGAGGGUGGCUGAGGUGGGAUGACCGAUUUGAGCCUGGGAGUUUGAAGCUGCAGUAAGCCAUGGCUGCACCACUGCACUCCAGCCUGGGCCACAGCAAAAGAACCCCUCUCAAAAAACUUAAAACAUAAAACUCUAAUACUGACACCUACAUACUCCUACCCAUUGUCAACUCCACCUUGCUCAAGGUCCUAAAUUGUUCACUAUCCCGUCUUUGGUAUUUAUUACUCUUAGCAGAUGCAUAUAUUUAAUGUCUUUUUUGAGCUUAUGAGAAGCCCCAAGUGUUGCUUUGAACAUUCCCAGGCAUGUAUCCUAUGUCCACAUGUAGUUUCUCUUGAGUAAUGCCUCAAAGUAGAACUGCCAUUUUCCCCAAGUAGUUGUAGUAACUUACACAAAUGGUCUUUUUCACAUUGACACGAGGAGUCCCGGCUAGAAGUCACGCUUUUCAUCACUGAAUGUCUUCAUCUACUAAAUGCUAAUGGAGGUAAGGAUAAGACUCAUUCAUGUGCCUGGCAUGUCAUUAGCUGCUCUGAACACACAAUACCCACGGUUUAUUAUAUAAAUCCAAGCCUGAAAAGUUGAAAAUUCCAUUCAUGGUAUUAUUAAUUGGCAAACAAAAAAAGCUCUUAGUUUUUGGAACACAGGUUUGAAUCUUUUUUUUUUUCCACUUUGUGUAACUGGAGACCUUAAUAAACUAUUAAGUAAACUUUCUGCACUCCUUCAGUGUUACCAUAAAACUCCCAAACAUUUGGUGAGACAUUACAUAGCUAAGUCUUGUUUUUUUACAACCUUGGGAUGUAGCAGUCAACAUUCAGCAUACGUCAAAGUUCGUUCUUAGGCAGGGUUGUAUAGGGUAAAUACCCAGGAGGCUUUCUAAAGCUGGUCUGUAUUACCCUCCACCCCCA